CCAACCCUUCUAAUCCAUUAGGCACUACUUUGGAUAGGGAUACACUGAAAAAAAUCUUGAUCUUCACUAACGAACAUAACAUCCAUCUUGUUUGUGACGAAAUCUAUGCUGGUACCGUGUUUGAUGCUCCACGAUUCGUCAGCAUCGCUGAAAUCAUUGAGGACGAUGGAAUUUGUGUUAAUAAAAAUUUGAUACAUAUUGUGUCUAGUCUUUCCAAAGACAUGGGUUUUCCAGGAUUUCGAGUGGGAAUUGUGUAUUCCUUCAAUGAUGAUGUGGUUAAUAAUGCUAGAAAAAUGUCGAGCUUCGGUCUUGUUUCUACUCAAACACAAAAUUUUCUAGCUUCCAUGCUAUCUGACGAUGAAUUUAUCGAAGAAUUUCUUACUGAAAACACCAAGAGGUUAAGGAAACGGCACGAGAAAUUCACUAGCGGACUUGAAAAAAUCGGAAUCAGAUGCUUAAAAAGCAAUGCUGGGGUUUAUUGCUGGGUGGAUUUGAGGACUCUAUUGAAAGAGCCAACACUUGAUGCUGAGGUGUCACUAUGGAAAUUGAUCAUAAACAACGCGAAGCUCAACAUCUCGCCUGGAUCUUCAUUUAAUUGCCCCGAAGCAGGGUGGUUCCGAAUCUGUUUUGCGAAUAUCGAUGAUCGAACGGUGGAGAUCGCACUCAAAAGAAUUCAAAUAUUUGUGGAUGCUAAUAACGAUAUUAAUGAAAAUGGAAUCGUGAAGAACGCAUCAGUGAAAGGGAAAUGAUUUACAAAUAUAGACUUCAUGAACGAAAAGUAGUACGUAUAAUAAAAUUAAUAUUAUGAGCUUGAAUAUGUUGUCUCCUAAUUUUCUGAUUGCUAAGGAGAAUAAAGAAGAAAUUGAAGUUUUUUUUUUUUUUUUUUUUUUUUGUUAUAAAAAUUAUAUGAAAAAUGUUCGUACCGUGGCCUUAUUAUGAGUAAUAAUAAUGUUUUUUAUUUGAUCUUUACAAAUGCAUAUUUUUCCCUUGAAAAAAUGACACAAAUAAUUUCUUGUGACAAUUAAUUUUUCUCUAUCUGCUAUUGUUGCAACUUUGUAGUACUUGCUACUUUAUUUUUUAUCACACUCCAAUUAAAGACUAACAAAAUAUAAUGACCAAGUAACAAAUUUAUCACUACUUAUUAGUUACUCUCUCUGUCCACCACUGUUAGUUGUCAUGAUGCGUUUUUCAAAAGUCAAUUUGGCUAAUUUUCAAAGUUAAAUUAGAGUACAUUAGUUCGAUAUUUUAAACAAAAAAUUUAGAUAAUCAAAAACUAGACGAAAAGUACUAUAAAUUGUAUUUUUUUUUUUGCAUAUCAAUAUGAUAAAAAAAUACAUCAUAAAAUAUUAGUCAAAAUUCUUAUAGUUUGAUUCUAAAAAAGGAAAUUAUGACAAUUAAAAGUUGACGGAGGGAGUAUUAAGACUCUUUCUUGGGGAAUAAAUAAUUCAAAAGAUAAGAGUAAAGUUUAGUGGUUUUUGUGUUAGAAAAAACAGUUAAAUGUAUUGAUGAAAAAGAAUAAUCAUAGUUAUGUAAUUAUUUAAAGAAAUUUAAAUUUCAAGAAUCACAACUUCAAAAUACGACCAAACAUAAAACUAACCAUUUCCGUCAUUUUGAGUUUCACUUUCUCAAGCUCCGUCCAGUCUCCGACGACUUCUCCGACGAGUCCCUUGCCACCAUCUGUGUUUAUCUCUCUAUUUCCUUCAUCUUUCUUUUUAUAUUUACAUAUAAAGGUAC
rnacentral:lncRNA from 1 species